GACUAACGCUGGCGGCGUGCCUAACACAUGCAAGUCGAACGGGGUUGUUUGUGUAGCAAUACAUCGACAACCUAGUGGCGAACGGGUGCGUAACACGUGAGCAAUCUGCCGGGAAGUGGGGGAUAGCUCGCCGAAAGGCGAAUUAAUACCGCAUGUGGCCAGAGGGGACAUCCCUUCGACGCCAAAGUCGCAAGACGCUUCCUGAUGAGCUCGCGGCCUAUCAGCUUGUUGGUGAGGUAACGGCUCACCAAGGCUAUGACGGGUAGCUGGUCUGAGAGGACGACCAGCCACACUGGAACUGAGACACGGUCCAGACACCUACGGGUGGCAGCAGGCGAGAAUUUUUCACAAUGGGGGCAACCCUGAUGGAGCGACGCCGCGUGGAGGAUGAAGGUCUUCGGAUUGUAAACUCCUGUCAUGCGAGAACAAGAAAGUGAUAGUAUCGCAAGAGGAAGAGACGGCUAACUCUGUGCCAGCCGCCGCCGUAA
rnacentral:rRNA from 1 species